GUGUCUAUAAGUAAUUUUUUUUUUUUUUUUUUUUUAAUAAAAAGACCUAAUGCUCAUCUAUGAUGAUGACAUAAAAUAUUUUGUAUAAACCGCGAGUAUUACUGCACAACAAUACAGGCGUAUUUUUUUAUUUCACAACAUGUUUGGCCAUAGGCUAUCGUCAGGUAAGUAAUUAAAUUACCUAUAUUUUUCUAUCGUUUCGCAUUAAUUUACUACCUAAUGAUGAUCCGACAUAUUGUAAAAUAAAAAAAAAAACUAUAUAUUCGCGGGUUAUACGCUAUAUUUUAUUUAUUUUUUUUCCGUCUUUUUCAUAUUAUGUCCGCGUUACAUUUCAUUCUAUAUAAUAUUAUAAUAUGUGAAUAAUUACGUUAACAGAAAAGUUCACAAACAAAUUAUAAUAUUGUUAUUAUUGUUAUACUAACAAGACGCGCAUUUCGUAUAAUCACAUCAAUCAAUAUAACACGGUAAAAAAUCAAAAACAAAACUUGACACACGGGCCGUAGUAAAUGGUACAUUAUACUUGACGAUCGAACUCGUACUACAUAAUUUCGUAAAGAACAUUAUACAUUUAAAACCAACCGUACAUUUUCGCACUUUUCGUAUUAUUAUUAUUAUUAUUACAUAUAUUUUUUUUUUUUGUGUGUGUUAUACGGUAUUCACAUUAAGCGCACAUGCAUAAAAACGCGAAUAUUAUAUUAUAGCUCACACGAUUUCCUUAUACAUUACGUAGAAUUAUAAUACUGUAUUAUAGUAAUAUUAUCAUAGUCCUACAUGAAACUAUAUGCGAGUUUCAUUUUAAACGCCAUCGCAAUAUAUAUAUAUUUAAAUCUAAACGUAAAUUACCGGUUAGUCGUAAGCAUACGACUUACAACCGUUCAACAAUAAUAUAAUAUUAUUCUUACCGUGUUAACAUCAUAGUUCACGCGUUCUAAUUUUAAAUUAGGUAUUAUUUUAUGUCCCAUAGAUAUUAUAUUAUCAUUAUCGUACAACUACUAUAGUACACGGCCGUCUGAUAAUUGUGUUUUCGAUGAUUUUUCGCGUCAGUUGUAGCGUGUGGAGAAUUUCCUACUAUUCUACAAAUGUAACUUGUGUUUGGUGUCGGCCCUCGAGGCCACGCACAAUAACCUGCCGCCUAAAUCCGUUCUCACUUCUCAACAGCUGCCCUCUAUCAGGUUUCCGGCCUCAUUGUUUCAAUGUUCUUCUAAACAUAAUUUUUCUUUUCGCCUUAAAUUUGGAUUCCUUUAUCGUCUCAUAUUUAGCUAAUUUUUAGUGCAUAAGUGCACACAUUUUUAUUCAUUUUCUCGUGCAUAAAAGACCAUUAGAUUCCGAACUCUAGAAAUAUUUAUUGAAAUUUAUAAUUGUGUACAUAAUAAUAUGUAAAAAAUUAAAUAAUAGGAUGUAACUAUUACUAAAUGUUGAAUAUUUUGAACGAUAAUUUUUUGAGUAAAUGAAAAUUAUUUUUUUUCAAUUCAAUUCAAUUGGAAUUUAUUUUAUUCAUUGCUUCACGUCAUUGAUUUUUAAUUGAAGAAUGUUUUGUUUAUUCAGCCUAGAUUUAUAAUAAUAUAAAACUGUUAUCGCAAUAUUGCCUCGAUAAUAUUGAUAACAGAUGUAAAUAACAUUCACCACACGACAAAUGACGUCGAAAUUAUCUUCAACUUUUU